rnacentral:rRNA from 1 species
UACGGAGGGGGUUAGCGUUGUUCGGAAUUACUGGGCGUAAAGCGCACGUAGGCGGAUUGAUAAGUUGGGGGUGAAAUCCCGGGGCUCAACCCCGGAACUGCCUCCAAAACUAUCAGUCUUGAGUUCGAGAGAGGUGAGUGGAAUUCCGAGUGUAGAGGUGAAAGGCGUAGAUAUGCGGAGGAACACCAGUGGCGAAGGCGGCUCACGGGCUCGAUACUGACGCUGAGGUGCGAAAGCGUGGGGAGCAUACAGG